GACGAACGCUGGCGGCGUGCCUAAUACAUGCAAGUCGAACGCACUCUCGUUAGAUUGAAGAAGCUUGCUUCUGAUUGAUAACAUUUGAGUGAGUGGCGGACGGGUGAGUAACACGUGGGUAACCUGCCCUAAAGUGGGGGAUAACAUUUGGAAACAGAUGCUAAUACCGCAUAAAACCUAGCACCGCAUGGUGCAAGGUUGAAAGAUGGUUUCGGCUAUCACUUUAGGAUGGACCCGCGGUGCAUUAGUUAGUUGGUGAGGUAAAGGCUCACCAAGACCGUGAUGCAUAGCCGACCUGAGAGGGUAAUCGGCCACACUGGGACUGAGACACGGCCCCAGACUCCUACGGGAGGCAGCAGUAGGGAAUCUUCCACAAUGGACGAAAGUCUGAUGGAGCAACGCCGCGUGAGUGAAGAAGGUUUUCGGAUCGUAAAACUCUGUUGUUGGAGAAGAACGUAUUUGAUAGUAACUGAUCAGGUAGUGACGGUA
rnacentral:rRNA from 1 species